rnacentral:rRNA from 1 species
AUUGAACGCUAGCGGGAUGCUUUACACAUGCAAGUCGAACGGCAGCGCGAAGAAAGCUUGCUUUCUUUGGCGGCGAGUGGCGGACGGGUGAGUAAUGCAUCGGAAUGUGCCCAGUAGCGGGGGAUAACUACUCGAAAGAGUGGCUAAUACCGCAUAUUCUCUACGGAGGAAAGAGGGGGAUCUUCGGACCUCUCACUACUGGAGCAGCCGAUGUCAGAUUAGCUAGUUGGUGGGGUAAAGGCCUACCAAGGCAAUGAUCUGUAGCUGGUUUGAGAGGACGACCAGCCACACUGGGACUGAGACACGGCCCAGACUCCUACGGGAGGCAGCAGUGGGGAAUUUUGGACAAUGGGGGGAACCCUGAUCCAGCCAUCCCGCGUGUAUGAUGAAGGCCUUCGGGUUGUAAAGUACUUUUGACAGGGAAGAAACGACACCACCUAAUACGUGAUGUUAAUGACGGUACCUGUAGAAUAAGCACCGGCUAACUACGUGCCAGCAGCCGCGGUAAUACGUAGGGUGCAAGCGUUAAUCGGAAUUACUGGGCGUAAAGGGUACGCAGGCGGCUAGGAAAGAAGGAUGUGAAAUCCCAGGGCUCAACCUUGGAACUGCAUUCUUAACUGCCUAGCUAGAGUAUGUCAGAGGGGGGUAGAAUUCCACGUGUAGCAGUGAAAUGCGUAGAUAUGUGGAGGAAUACCGAUGGCGAAGGCAGCCCCCUGGGAUAAUACUGACGCUCAG